GACGAACGCUGGCGGCGUGCUUAACACAUGCAAGUCGAACGGAAAGGCCCUGCUUUUGUGGGGUGCUCGAGUGGCGAACGGGUGAGUAACACGUGAGUAACCUGCCCUUGACUUUGGGAUAACUUCAGGAAACUGGGGCUAAUACCGGAUAGGAGCUCCUGCUGCAUGGUGGGGGUUGGAAAGUUUCGGCGGUUGGGGAUGGACUCGCGGCUUAUCAGCUUGUUGGUGGGGUAGUGGCUUACCAAGGCUUUGACGGGUAGCCGGCCUGAGAGGGUGACCGGCCAUAUUGGGACUGAGAUACGGCCCAGACUCCUACGGGAGGCAGCAGUGGGGAAUCUUGCACAAUGGGCGGAAGCCUGAUGCAGCAACGCCGCGUGCGGGAUGACGGCCUUCGGGUUGUAAACCGCUUUCGCCUGUGACGAAGCGUGAGUGACGGUAAUGGGUAAAGAAGCACCGGCUAACUACGUG
rnacentral:rRNA from 1 species